ACGUAAACUUACUAGCUGAAGUCACGUCGGGAAAGAGGGCAGGGAGGAAAGGAGCGAGCUAGCCGUUUAGCUACGUGACGUACACAAUAAUUGUGUAAUAAUCCCGAUAUUUACGCGUAAUUAUCGUCUAAUAGAAAAAUAACGGAAGGUUGCGACGUUCUUGUCGUUGUUCUCGUAAAUUGCGCUUAUUUUGCCGCCAAUCGCCGAGCGAAACGAAAACAAACCACUCUCCGACGUCAAAGCUAGCAUAACAAACACAACAGAACGGGAAAAAAUGAGAGGGGGUUCAUCUUAUGGAGACAGAGACAGGGACCGUGGACGAGACAGGCCACGGUUUGGGCCCAUGAGCGGUCGCGGUGGACCUCCACCAAUGAAGUUUGGGAAUCCAGGGGAGCGUCUUCGAAAGAAGAGGUGGAAUCUGGAUGAGCUGCCAAAAUUUGAGAAGAACUUCUACACUGAACAUCUUGAGGUGCAACGUGUGAAUCAGUAUGAAGUGGAAGACUUCCGCAAAAGAAAGGAGAUCACAAUCAGAGGGUCCGGCUGUCCAAAGCCUGUCACCGCUUUUCACCACGCGCAGUUUCCUCAGUACGUGAUGGAUGUGCUGAUGCAGCAGAACUUCAAGGAGCCCACAGCAAUCCAGUCCCAGGGUUUUCCUGCGGCCCUGAGUGGCAGGGACAUGGUGGGGAUUGCACAGACUGGAUCGGGAAAGACACUGGCUUACCUUCUUCCAGCUAUUGUACACAUCAACCACCAACCCUAUCUGGAGAGGGGAGAUGGUCCAAUUUGUUUGGUACUUGCCCCAACCAGAGAGUUGGCUCAGCAGGUACAACAGGUCGCUUAUGACUAUGGGAAGUCUUCCCGUAUCAAAAGCACCUGUGUCUACGGUGGAGCUCCAAAAGGACCACAGAUUCGAGACCUUGAACGAGGGGUUGAGAUUUGCAUUGCCACACCUGGUCGCCUCAUUGAUUUCUUAGAGGCAGGGAAGACCAACCUGCGCCGCUGCACCUACUUAGUGCUGGAUGAGGCUGACCGCAUGUUGGACAUGGGCUUUGAACCGCAGAUUCGCAAGAUAGUAGAACAAAUUCGGCCUGACAGACAGACUCUGAUGUGGAGUGCAACGUGGCCAAAAGAGGUUCGGCAGCUGGCUGAGGACUUCCUGAGGGACUACAUCCAGAUCAAUAUCGGAGCUCUGGAGCUCAGCGCCAACCACAACAUCCUGCAAAUAGUCGAUGUCUGCAUGGAGACUGAAAAGGACGACAAACUCAUUCAGCUGAUGGAGGAGAUAAUGGCUGAAAAAGAGAACAAAACCAUCAUCUUUGUGGAGACUAAGAAACGCUGUGAUGAUCUUACACGGAGGAUGAGGCGUGAUGGGUGGCCGGCCAUGUGCAUUCACGGAGACAAGAGCCAGCCUGAAAGAGACUGGGUACUUACAGAAUUUCGGAGUGGCAAAGCCCCCAUUCUGAUUGCCACUGAUGUUGCCUCUCGUGGUCUGGGUAUGUCUCACCACACAAUAGCUCAUAAUAUAUCUCACUAUCUUAAUAAUUCAUAGUAUCUCAUGUAAUUCUGUAUCACUGUGUCAUUGUGAUUUGUUUUUUUAAAUAUUUUUUUUUUCAGAAAUAACUUAUAAUAUAUACAUAAAAGAAUAACACGGUUAUAGUUGGUGGGUUCCUAUUAAAGUGACCUCUGUUCUGCUAAAUAUCUUUACAAGUAGGCCAGUAGAUUGUCUGUAAGUGGACAGCUGGAGAUCAACCUUUCUUGCAAUUGGCAGAUAUAAAUCAAAACACAAAAUAUACAUUUUCUUGCAGAAUUGUCCUCCAACAAUUACACUCAGGUGGUUUUAUGACAGUUUUUUGUUAUUAGGAAUGUAUUAAUUUGGGUCAACAAUAAUUACAAAAUAACACUUAAAUACACUAAGUACACAUCUGCUAUAAAAAUUUAAAAAAAGGCUACAAUAUUUUGCAAAAACUCAUUGUUUGCCUUUCAGUACAUGUACUUAAUUCUAGUGGAAGAUCACAAGUAUGUCAUUUGAUCUGUUAACAUUUUUGCAUUUAAAAAAUUAAGGUUAAUAGAUUUUAAAAAAAUUCAUUUUAAUUAUGUUUCUAUUAUGAGUCAGUGUCAUUAUAGUAAAUGAAUAAAAUAAAAACUAAAGUGUAGUUAACUGAAAUAAAACUCUUGAAAAAGGUUAACUGAAACUAUAUUUUGCACAUAAACAAAACAAAAUAAAAAUAUCCAAGAAAUGUCCUUAGUUUUAGUAUUUCUCAGGUUGGCCGAAAUUUACCAAUACAGCCGGUAUUGGUACAGAUUUCUAUUGAGAUAUGGGGUAUUUAUGUCAUACUUAUGUCACUGUGUACCAGUGUCUGCAUUGUGAAAUAUAUUCUAAGCUUGUUCUUCUUCCUGAAAAUUAUACUCCAUAUUAUAAUACUUAAAAAAAACUUGUAAAGCUAAAGCUUAAAAUAAUAAAAAAUUAACUACAACUAAAAGUUAUCAAAAAAAACCUGCAAUGAGUAAGUCCAUACUAAAAUCUAAAAAAAAAGUUAAAUACAAAACUAAUAACACUUCUGGUUCUGGUUUUAACCUAUUAAUGUGGUCUCUCGGUUAAACAGGACAUUAGCACAUUAGUUACAGGAGAUUAAUACACCAGUAAUUUCGUAUUAUACAGUGUGUACUGUACUUACUUACUGUAAUAAUGUGACAGUCUAACGGACCAUUUUGUCCAGUAUGGAGGCUGCAGGCCCUCUGGUCCACUGGGUUUAUAGUCUGUUUCUUGUUACUGCAGUUUAAAGGCUUCCUUCAAACGGGGCUCUUUGGCACGCUGCCUGAAAGGAGGGGUGUGUGGGACAGAUGCUCCUGUGCACCUUUUCUUAUGUCUCCUUUGUGGUGUCAGGACAAAUUUACUAAGGAUGUCGCACAUAUUGCCCUUUUUUUUUAAUCUAAGCGUUAAACGAUAAAUUGUGUAGUUGUCCCUUUAUUCUGCAAAAAUGUUAAAGUUUGCUAUGUUUUGCAGAUGCAUAUGUGUAGAAUAAAGACAGAUGAAUUUUCUCAGAUCCACUUGUUGACAGGAUAAUCUUGAGAAGGGGGGAUAAGUGAAAGUGUCUUAAUUUUUCCAAAAUCCCCAUGACCGAAUCCUUGUUCUCUUUUCCCCUCUUCUCCUCUCAGGGUUUGGCAGCACAUGGCAGCUGUAACAAUCUGCGCUGCUGUCACUGCCCCCUCAUUCACGUUAAAAUAGAAGCUUCGCUAGUUUUAGAGGGAUUACAGCCCCUCUUAUUCGACUAAAAAAAGAUCCCCCCUGCCCAGUAUUGUCAGAGUUUGUAAAUCCAACGAGCCUUCCUUGGGAGCAGCCUGAGGUUCCUGUAUGUCUGCCCAUCGGUCCGUCCCAAAAAGCAGACAGACAGGAGAGAGAGAGUUAGACGGGCUCGUCUGGAUCCAGUCCUGGCCAGGGUCUGAGGAGGGCCCUGCAAUGCGGCGAGAGAGCAACAGAACCACCCGUUGUGUGUGUGUGUUUGUGUAAACGUGUGUGUGUUUGCGUGGCUGGGUGUGUCUCUGGAGAUUUAACGGUUCUGCUCCCGUCUGACGUUGCUGGUGUGAGCAGAAGGUGAGGGAGGAAUCCCGUCUCCCUCUCCCUCAGCCCCUCCUCGUGAACCAGGACUGAUCAGGGGGGACUGACUACCUUUGUAAACACAACAUGAAGGGGAUGUGGAGGAUGUCAAGUUCGUCAUCAACUAUGACUAUCCAAGCUCCUCUGAGGAUUAUGUCCAUCGUAUUGGGCGUACAGCUCGCAGUACCAACAAGGGCACUGCUUACACCUUCUUCACCCCAGGAAACCUGCGAC